AAUUGUAGACUGUGAUUAUAUGUUCUGUGAAUGACAAUCUUUCCUGGCGUUCGGUUUAUGUAUUUUUCAAGUCGCAGUGUUGAUCCUCAAAGAUUGACCCCUACACUACAUUUUUAAAGGAGUCACUUUUGAAUCUACAUCCUCUACCUUAUUGCAAAAGUGGCGCCACUUCACUUCUAAGUUUUUAAAUGUUUGUUUUAUUGAUUUCGAAGAACACGUGUUUUAUUAACUGGAGCGAAAAUAUUCAAAAUUAAAGGUUCUGGAAAUUUUUUUUUUAAAAACCAUUAAAUUGCGUGUUUGCCAAUUUUUAAACGGUCCUUCGUACUUCUGUACUUACAAUGGGAAAAAUAUAGCAUAAUUAGUUCUCUAUUUAAAGUGACCUUUCCGAAGAAAAUCGAAAUCGUAUUAACCCCGUGGCAAGAGAUCAUAUUUUUUUUUUAAAUUGCCAUACUAAAAUUCGGGAGUCACGCCGGAAUUUAGAUCCGCUUGCGUAGUUUGUUCUACGACAGUGGCGCCACUUCAUUUCCAGGUUCCAUUGCGAUCACGUUUCGUCUUGGAGGUGUAUUAGAUUGUUCAUUUUCUUAUCCUAUUGAUAUUGUUUUUAAUUGUUUAUUUUAUUGGUAAGUGAAUUACGGUAUACGAUUCAAUUUAUGGCGAUACGUAUUUUCGCAGAUUUCGCAAAAAUUCAGCCACCUUGUGGAAUUUCGAUCUUCGUGGGAUUUUACUCUUUUUUAUCGUUUAAUUUAUCUUAUUUUCAGGUUACCUUCGACAUCAAUAUGAGGCCUCCGAAGAAAUUGAAAGGAGGGGCAUUGAGUUUACAUAAUGCCAAAAUUCGAAGACUAGCUUCGAGUACCGAUUCAGUCAACAAUGUCCCUGUCGGCCCGAAUGAUGUAGAACGUGUGGAUCUUGGUUUGGAUGUUUCUUCGAAAUCGGGAAAGAAGGUUGGACGACGUGAAUGGAUUUUUGGUUCACAUUCACAAUAUAAAUAUCAAUUUAUGUUUUAUGUACUUUGACUUAUUGUGGCUUUGGCAGAUAAAAGGUAUCAAAGAUGUGUAAAAUAUCAACUUAAUUAUGUCCAAUUACAAAUCUUAAUUUUCUUGUACGUAAAAUAAGAAACCGUUGUGAUGUUUCCUCAGACAGUCUGACAGUUUUUUAUGAUUACCGAACUAACUGUACCCAUAAAAUUUACCUUUUAUACUACAACAUAAGUACAGUUAUAGUUUCUUUAAGUUGAAGUAUAUCU